rnacentral:rRNA from 1 species
UAGGGAAUAUUGCAAAAUGGGCGAAAGCCCGAUGCAGCAACGCCGCGUGGGCGAUGAAGGCCUUCGGGUCGUAAAGCCCUUUUUGAGGGGAUGAGGAAGGACAGUACCCUCAGAAUAAGCCUCGGCUAACUACGUGCCAGCAGCCGCGGUAAAACGUAGGAGGCAAGCGUUAUCCGGAUUUACUGGGCGUAAAGCGCGUGCAGGCGGAUUGGAGAGUUGGAUGUGAAAGCUCCCAGCUUAACUGGGAGAGGUCGUUCAAUACUUCCAGUCUUGAGUGCAGUAGAGGGAAGUGGAAUUCCGGGUUUAGUGGUGAAAUGCGUAGAUAUCCGGAGGAACACCAGUGGCGAAAGCGGCUUCCUGGACUGUAACUGACGCUCAGACGCGAAAGCUAGGGUAGCAAACG